rnacentral:misc_RNA from 1 species
GGUUGAUAGAACGAUAACAAAUCUGCAAAUGAAAACCAUAGCCUUAAGUCUACACAAAUGAGCUGUGGGUAGGCCUGUUCAUGGAUUGGAUUGGAUAAAAGUUGCUUCCAAUUCAACCCAAACCAUGUUAAACAAAUGAGUGUGGAUUUUACAAUUCAAAACAACCAAUCAAAUUGCAAGAGAGAGUUGGUUAGUUGGUCGGGUGAAGUUAUAUUUGAUGGCUGCUUUGGUACUAAUUUGGUACUAGGUAAU